AAACUAGGAUUAGAUACCCUAUUAUUUAAAAUAUAAUUAUAAAUACUUAAGUAGUAGUAGUUAUGUUCUUGAAACUUAAAAAAUUUGGCGGUAUUUUAGUCUAUCCAGAGGAACCUGUUUUGUAAUCGAUAAUCCACGAUGGACCUUACUUAAGUUUGUAAUCAGUUUAUAUACCGUCGUUAUCAGAAUAUUUUAUAAGAAUAAAAAUAUUCAAUAAUUUAUAUUAAAAUUUAUAUCAGAUCAAGGUGUAGCUUAUAUUUAAGUAAUAAUGGGUUACAAUAAAAAUAUUUAAACGAAUAAAAUAAUGAAAAAAUUUUUGAAGGUGGAUUUGGCAGUAAAAUUAUAAAGAUUAAUAAUUUGAUUUAGCUCUAAAAUAUGUACACAUCGCCCGUCGCUCUUAUUAUUAAGGUAAGAUAAGUCGUAACAUAGUA
rnacentral:rRNA from 1 species